GGUAAAAUGGCUGACAAAAGCGAUAAACUGUAAAUUUAUGUAUGAAAUGUUAAUUUCUUUUACCA
rnacentral:tRNA from 2 species